rnacentral:sRNA from 1 species
UACUUUUGAAAACCGAUGAAUGCACAGC